rnacentral:lncRNA from 1 species
CUUUUUGUUUCAUUUGGAAUGUUUUUCAGUUCUAGAAUUUAUGUUUGGUUGUGUAGCAUAGAUUCUAGUUCACUGAAGAAAAUCUCAAACUAGAAGUAAACAAUCAUCUUAAAAUCAGUGAAUCUAGGUAUAUUUUGGGACCUAAGACAAGGCUUUCACUCUCCAAAGCAGAUGUCUGUGUCCUUUCUGGCGGGCAUCUAAGGGCUCCAGCAAUACUGAAUCGACUGCAAAUCGCACAUUGAAAACGUUUCCACCUCAGCCUCAGUUUCUGCAAAGCUGCUGCAUUUCCAGUUCACCUUCACUUCCAGAGCCUGCAGUCUGGGAAAGAAGAGUCAAGAGGAUAACAUUGUCAAUCAGGAAAUUUUGAAAAGAAAAGUAAGAGGAAAUGGAGAAAUAAAUCCUACAAACCUUGCAGUCACUUUCAAUGCAACUUUAGAAGCUGUGAAGUAGUACUCACUUAAGAAUCUGGACUGAAAAGUAACGGGCCACUAAAAGAUAUUUGCUAUUCUCCAAUAUUGCUGUGUUCUGUGGGGUUUCCUGACUCAUUUAUCACUACCUGUUUAAAACAUCUUCAUUUUCUCUGUACAUUUAUUAUGUCUGGCAUCAGAAAUGAUAUGUAUUAAUGGUGGGAGUGCUGCUGUUAACAAUUUAAUUUAAUGAAGAUUGUGCUUCUCUAGUCUCAAAUUUCAUCCAUUCAUUCAUUCAGAAAAAUAUUAUUGAAUACUGAAUAUGUGUCAGAUUGUCGAGGCACUGAGAUCGUAGCAAUAAAUGAAAUCAGUAAAAAUCUGUGCCCUCA